UGGGCCUGAAGUUUUACUGCUUGAUUACCCUACUCAUCAACGGCGUCUGUUACCUUUACUAGCAAAGGUAUAUGCAAUGAGUUUUGCUGCAAAUGAGCUCAAAAUGAUGUAUGUCAAUAGAACGCCUGAGUCAAACAAGACAAUUCAUAUUAUUUCUAGUGCUUACAAGGCUACUUUAACUUGGAAUAAUAUGCAUACUCUCCAGGAAUGUCGUGAAGCCUGUGGAGGACAAGGAAUUAAAUCUGAAAAUCGUGUUGGUCAAUUCAUGGGUGAAUUUGAUGCGCAAUCGACAUUUGAGGGGGACAACAAUGUUCUGAUGCAGCAGGUAAAAUGAGUAUUCCAUUGAAC